rnacentral:lncRNA from 1 species
UAGCCUCCAUAUAGGAUCUUAUAUUGGCCAAGACAUUAUCUAAGGUCAUUGUGAAAAUCUACAAGAAACGGUAAGUAAAGAAAAUAACACUCCUCAUGUGUUUCACUAUUUAUGUUUCAUUUAACCUCAUUCAUUCAAGUUGAAUAUCAGAAUUAAAUUCAUUUGAAUCGAGAUAAUCAAGUUUUGUUCAAUGAAUCCUAAUAGAGGAAAGUGGUAAACGAAUUUAGAUGAUCACAGAAGAUAAACACAUGGAUGAUAGAAGAUGAGAUGUGUUUAUUUACAAUGCUAAAUAACUAUAACGUAAUUAGCU